rnacentral:lncRNA from 1 species
CAAAUUUGGCACAAAGUUCUUCUAAUAAGAGGCCAUAAAAUAACCAAAUGAUUUUUUAUGUGCCUAUAGAACCAAAAGAACUAUUUCAGAAUGUCAGCUGAAAAGCACGAUAUUCCAGAUAGCUUAGAAACCUUGGCAUAGUGCCUUCCUGGAAAUCCUGGAUUGCAUCUAAAACCAUGUGGCAGAGGGAGAAACAACAGACAGGACAUCCUGAGAAGACUCAGGCUGGGACGAAAGCUCUGCUCUCCAGGGACAAAGCAGCAGGGGACCAGCCAUGCUCAGAAAUACUCCACUGGCCAGUGCACAUUUUUUUGAGCAAUUUCACUUGCUUCCUCACCACCUGUCCCCCUAACACUUCUAUUAAAGUGGCAAAUAAAUCUGA